rnacentral:rRNA from 1 species
CUACGUGCCAGCAGCCGCGGUAAUACGGAGGGUGCGAGCGUUAAUCGGAAUAACUGGGCGUAAAGGGCACGCAGGCGGUUAUUUAAGUGAGGUGUGAAAGCCCCGGGCUUAACCUGGGAAUUGCAUUUCAGACUGGGUAACUAGAGUACUUUAGGGAGGGGUAGAAUUCCACGUGUAGCGGUGAAAUGCGUAGAGAUGUGGAGGAAUACCGAAGGCGAAGGCAGCCCCUUGGGAAUGUACUGACGCUCAUGUGCGAAAGCGUGGGGAGCAAACAGGAUUAGAUACCCUGGUAGUCCACGCUGUAAACGCUGUCGAUUUGGGGAUUGGGCUUAGAGCUUGGUGCCCGUAGCUAACGUGAUAAAUCGACCGCCUGGGGAGUACGGCCGCAAGGUUAAAACUCAAAUGAAUUGACGGGGGCCCGCACAAGCGGUGGAGCAUGUGGUUUAAUUCGAUGCAACGCGAAGAACCUUACCUACUCUUGACAUCCAUGGAAUUCUGUAGARAUACGGGAGUGC